UGGGGGAUAUUGCACAAUGGGCGAAAGCCUGAUGCAGCGACGCCGCGUGGGGGAUGAAGGCCUUCGGGUUGUAAACUUCUUUUGCUCUGAACAAGGCAUGCCUUUGGGGUGUGUUGAGUGUAGGGGUUGAUUAGCGCCGGCUAACUACGUGCCAGCAGCCGCGGUAAUACGUAGGGCGCGAGCGUUGUCCGGAAUUAUGGGGCGUAAAGGGCUUGUAGGUGGCUGGUUGCGUCUGUCGUGAAAGCUCAUGGCUUAACUGUGGGUUUGCGGUGGGUACGGGCUGGCUUGAGUGCAGUAGGGGAGGCUGGAAUUCCUGGUGUAGCGGUGGAAUGCGCAGAUAUCAGGAGGAAUACCGGUGGCGAAGGCGGGUCUCUGGGCUGUUACUGACGCUGAGGAGCGAAAGCGUGGGGAGCGAACAGG
rnacentral:rRNA from 1 species